UUUAAAUUUAGAGUUUGAUCCUGGCUCAGGACGAACGCUGGCGGCGUGCUUAACACAUGCAAGUCGAGCG
rnacentral:rRNA from 1 species